rnacentral:rRNA from 1 species
AGUGAACGCUGGCGGUAGGCCUAACACAUGCCAGUCGAACGGCAGCACAGUAAGAGCUUGCUCUUACGGGUGGCGAGUGGCGGACGGGUGAGGAAUACAUCGGAAUCUACUUUUUCGUGGGGGAUAACGUAGGGAAACUUACGCUAAUACCGCAUACGACCUACGGGUGAAAGCAGGGGAUCUUCGGACCUUGCGCGAUUGAAUGAGCCGAUGUCGGAUUAGCUAGUUGGCGGGGUAAAGGCCCACCAAGGCGACGAUCCGUAGCUGGUCUGAGAGGAUGAUCAGCCACACUGGAACUGAGACACGGUCCAGACUCCUACGGGAGGCAGCAGUGGGGAAUAUUGGACAAUGGGCGCAAGCCUGAUCCAGCCAUACCGCGUGGGUGAAGAAGACCUUCGGGUUGUAAAGCCCUUUUGUUGGGAAAGAAAAGCAGCAGGUUAAUACCCCGCUGUUCUGACGGUACCCAAAGAAUAAGCACCGGCUAACUUCGUG